UAAGGCGAGGCCGAAAGGCGUAGUCGAUGGGAAACAGGUUAAUAUUCCUGUACUUGGUGUUACUGCGAAGGGGGGACGGAGAAGGCUAUGUUGGCCGGGCGACGGUUGUCCCGGUUUAAGCGUGUAGGCUGGUUUUCCAGGCAAAUCCGGAAAACUAAGGCUGAGGCGUGAUGACGAGGCACUACGGUGCUGAAGCAACAAAUGCCCUGCUUCCAGGAAAAGCCUCUAAGCAUCAGGUAACAUCAAAUCGUACCCCAAACCGACACAGGUGGUCAGGUAGAGAAUACCAAGGCGCUUGAGAGAACUCGGGUGAAGGAACUAGGCAAAAUGGUGCCGUAACUUCGGGAGAAGGCACGCUGAUAUGUAGGUGAAGUCCCUCGCGGAUGGAGCUGAAAUCAGUCGAAGAUACCAGCUGGCUGCAACUGUUUAUUAAAAACACAGCACUGUGCAAACACGAAAGUGGACGUAUACGGUGUGACGCCUGCCCGGUGCCGGAAGGUUAAUUGAUGGGGUCAGCGCAAGCGAAGCUCUUGAUCGAAGCCCCGGUAAACGGCGGCCGUAACUAUAACGGUCCUAAGGUAGCGAAAUUCCUUGUCGGGUAAGUUCCGACCUGCACGAAUGGCGUAAUGAUGGCCAGGCUGUCUCCACCCGAGACUCAGUGAAAUUGAACUCGCUGUGAAGAUGCAGUGUACCCGCGGCAAGACGGAAAGACCCCGUGAACCUUUACUAUAGCUUGACACUGAACAUUGAGCCUUGAUGUGUAGGAUAGGUGGGAGGCUUUGAAGUGUGGACGCCAGUCUGCAUGGAGCCGACCUUGAAAUACCACCCUUUAAUGUUUGAUGUUCUAACGUUGACCCGUAAUCCGGGUUGCGGACAGUGUCUGGUGGGUAGUUUGACUGGGGCGGUCUCCUCCUAAAGAGUAACGGAGGAGCACGAAGGUUGGCUAAUCCUGGUCGGACAUCAGGAGGUUAGUGCAAUGGCAUAAGCCAGCUUGACUGCGAGCGUGACGGCGCGAGCAGGUGCGAAAGCAGGUCAUAGUGAUCCGGUGGUUCUGAAUGGAAGGGCCAUCGCUCAACGGAUAAAAGGUACUCCGGGGAUAACAGGCUGAUACCGCCCAAGAGUUCAUAUCGACGGCGGUGUUUGGCACCUCGAUGUCGGCUCAUCACAUCCUGGGGCUGAAGUAGGUCCCAAGGGUAUGGCUGUUCGCCAUUUAAAGUGGUACGCGAGCUGGGUUUAGAACGUCGUGAGACAGUUCGGUCCCUAUCUGCCGUGGGCGCUGGAGAACUGAGGGGGGCUGCUCCUAGUACGAGAGGACCGGAGUGGACGCAUCACUGGUGUUCGGGUUGUCAUGCCAAUGGCACUGCCCGGUAGCUAAAUGCGGAAGAGAUAAGUGCUGAAAGCAUCUAAGCACGAAACUUGCCCCGAGAUGAGUUCUCCCUGACUCCUUGAGAGUCCUGAAGGAACGUUGAAG
rnacentral:rRNA from 1 species